CAGCUGUGAGCCGCAGCGGUGACUCACUCGUGCUGCAGAACAAGACAGGAAGUCGGAGGCUGAAUGAUGUCCCUCCCCCGGCUGCAGACUGCGCUCAGGCUUUAGUCGCUCCACUGUCCGCGAGACUUGCGCAAAACAACG
rnacentral:misc_RNA from 1 species